UACGUAGGGCGCAAGCGUUAUCCGGAAUUAUUGGGCGUAAAGAGCUCGUAGGCGGUUUGUCGCGUUGUUCGUGAAAACUCACAACUCAAUUGUGGGCGUGCGGGCGAUACGGGCAGACUGGAGUACUGCAGGGGAGACUGGAAUUCCUGGUGUAGCGGUGGAAUGCGCAGAUAUCAGGAGGAACACCGGUGGCGAAGGCGGGUCUCUGGGCAGUAACUGACGCUGAGGCGCGAAAGCUGGGGGAGCGAACGGG
rnacentral:rRNA from 1 species